ACCCUUCCCUCAGUUGGUAGAGCAUGAGACUCCUAAGCUCAGGGUUGUGGGUUCAAGUCCCAUGUUGGGCA